GGAGUGGGCUGGAUGAUCGCGCGGGUCUUCAGGAUUCGUGAGGAAAGUCCGGACUCCACAGGGCAGGGUGCCUGCUAACGGCAGGGCGGAGCGAUCCGACGGAAAGUGCCACAGAAAAGAAGACUCCCCCGCUCUCGAGCGGGGGAAAAGCUGAAACGGUGCGGUAAGAGCGCACCAGCGUCACGGCAACGUGGCGGCUUGGCAAACCCCACCCGGAGCAAGGGCGAAUAGGAGCGGCUAAGGUCGGCCCGACCGACGCUCGGGUUAGCCCGCACGAGGUCACGAGCGAUCGUGGUCCCAGAUAGAUGAUCAUCCCCGACAGAAUCCGGCUUACAGGCCCACUCCACCU
rnacentral:RNase_P_RNA from 1 species